AUUGAACGCUGGCGGCAUGCCUUACACAUGCAAGUCGAAAGGCAGCACGGGUGCUUGCACCUGGUGGCGGGUGGCGAACGGGUGAGUAAUACAUCGGAACGUACCUUAUCGUGGGGGAUAACGCAGCGAAAGCUGUGCUAAUACCGCAUACGCCCUGAGGGGGAAAGCGGGGGAUCGCAAGACCUCGCGCGAUUAGAGCGGCCGAUGCCUGAUUAGCUAGUUGGUGGGGUAAAAGCCCACCAAGGCGACGAUCAGUAGCUGGUCUGAGAGGACGAUCAGCCACACUGGGACUGAGACACGGCCCAGACUCCUACGGGAGGCAGCAGUGGGGAAUUUUGGACAAUGGGGGCAACCCUGAUCCAGCAAUGCCGCGUGAGUGAAGAAGGCCUUCGGGUUGUAAAGCUCUUUUGUCAGGGAAGAAACACCGGCUCUAACACAGUCCGGGAAUGACGGUACCUGAAGAAUAAGCACCGGCUAACUACGUGCCAGCAGCCGCUGUAA
rnacentral:rRNA from 1 species